UGGGGAAUUUUGGACAAUGGGCGAAAGCCUGAUCCAGCAAUGCCGCGUGUGUGAAGAAGGCCUUCGGGUUGUAAAGCACUUUUGUCCGGAAAGAAAUCCUUGGCUCUAAUACAGUCGGGGGAUGACGGUACCGGAAGAAUAAGCACCGGCUAACUACGUGCCAGCAGCCGCGGUAAUACGUAGGGUGCAAGCGUUAAUCGGAAUUACUGGGCGUAAAGCGUGCGCAGGCGGUUUGCUAAGACCGAUGUGAAAUCCCCGGGCUCAACCUGGGAACUGCAUUGGUGACUGGCAGGCUAGAGUAUGGCAGAGGGGGGUAGAAUUCCACGUGUAGCAGUGAAAUGCGUAGAGAUGUGGAGGAAUACCGAUGGCGAAGGCAGCCCCCUGGGCCAAUACUGACGCUCAUGCACGAAAGCGUGGGGAGCAAACAGGAUUAGAUACCCUGGUAGUCCACGCCCUAAAACGAUGUCAACUAGUUGUUGGGGAUUCAUUUCCUUAGUAACGUAGCUAACGCGUGAAGUUGACCGCCUGGGGGAGUACGGUCGCAAGAUUAAAACUUAAAUGAAUUGACGGGGUCAUAGCUG
rnacentral:rRNA from 1 species